GACGAACGCUGGCGGCGUGCUUAACACAUGCAAGUCGAACGAAGUGGCGAACGGGUGAGUAACGCGUAAUCAACCUGCCCUUCAGAGGGGGAUAACAGUUGGAAACGACUGCUAAUACCGCAUACUGAAGGAGGGGAUUGCGUCGGCUGAGCUAGUUGGAGGGGUAACGGCCCACCAAGGCGAUGAUCAGUAGCCGGGCUGAGGGGGUGGACGGGCAAAUUGGGACUGGGGCACGGCCCAGACUCCUACGGGAGGGAGCAGGGGGGAAUCUUCCGAAAUGGACGAAAGUCUGACGGAGCAACGCCGCGGGAGUGAUGACGGCCUUCGGGUUGUAAAGCUCUGUUAAGCGGGACGCGGUACCGGAAUAGAAAGCCACGGCUAACUACGUGCCAGCAGCCGCGGUAAUUC
rnacentral:rRNA from 1 species